GGCCCCGGGGUGAGUUAACGCCAAAGUGCAAAUUUGGAGACGCACCCCUAAAGGGUGCCGGGGCUU
rnacentral:tRNA from 1 species